UCUGGUCUGUGGCAGUAGAGACAUCGCAGAAUCCUGUGCUUAUUUGCAAUGAAAAUCAGCUGAUCUGGGACUGACUUUGGUAAGAUUUCAGAAUAAAAAACUGACAUAUUAUUUGAUUUCGAACAACGGAAUCAAUGUUACUUUCGCUCGCUCUCUUUCAUAACGACUUAACAAGCGUACCUUGAUGGGUAAGUAACUUGGCAGGUUCCUGUAUCCGAGCUUGAAAGGAAGAACCGUUGGACUGUACUUCUAUGCUCACGAACUCAGAUCUUGCGUAGAAUUCACUCCGAAACUCGUAGAUGUUUAUUAGAAGCUCAAAGAAAGAGGAGAGAAGUUUGACAUUGUCGUGAUUCCUCUGGACUCCGAAGAAAGCGACUUCGAACAAGGAUUCAAGACCAUGCCUUGGGUAGCCUUGCCUUUUCAUGUCGAAAGUUAUCACAGGCUUGCCCGGUAUAUCGAACCCGGCACCCUUCCCGGACUAGCUAUGAUAGGACCGGAUGGGAAAACAUUGCAUCCGAACGUGGUUGAAUUGAUCGAAGAUCACUGUGUCGAGGCCUACCCCUUUACGGCCGAGAAGAGCGCCGAACUCGCCGAGAUCACUAGGGCGAAGGACGGAGGGCAGACAAUCAAGUAGGUUCUAGUUUUCGAGGAACGAGAUUUCGUGAUCAACCGAGAAGGCUCAAAGGUAGCCCGUUUGUUCGUUCUACAUGAAACAAACUUCGAUGGUCUAAUCACACGGGCAAGUAGUUUUACUAAUGACCGUCUUGUUAUUCAAUUUGGUCCUGCGCUAUAUCCCGGUCUCCGACUUGGCGGGGAAGAACAUCGUACUCUAUUUCUCUGCACACUGGUGCCCACCGUACCGUGCCUUCCUGCCAAAGCUUCUCAAGCGUACGAGGAGAUCAAGGCAAGGCACGGCGCUUUCGAGGUCGUUCUCAUCUCAGGCAACUGCGACCAAAUAUCCUUCGACGGUUACUUCGCAAGCAUGCCUUGGUUAGGUCUCCCGUUCGGUGACCUGAGAAAGGACUUCCUCCAUGAGAAAUUUCAGGAUCAAAGGCAUUCCUGCUGCGGUACCUCUCGAUUCCGGCGGCCAGACGGUCACUAAAGAGGUGCAGAAGCUCAUAACUGCUCACAGGCCGGCAGCUUAUCCCUUCACGGGAGAGUAUUUGAAGCUUUUGGAGAGCUAGAGAAUUGUGAUGAAAGAGAGAGAAGGGUAAAAUUCUUUACAUUCCUGAAUGAAGAAUACAAGAUCCAGAUUCUAACAUGGGAGCAACUCGAGGAGAUGGCAAAAGGAUGGCCAGAGAAGCUAAGACAUGAACUUCGCAGCAAACAUGGACGUUUACGGGGACUUGAAGGAGCGGAUAGAGGUGCAAUGGGUGUAGGAGGAGGUGGGACACGGUCGUUCGUUUUCCUGUGAGCACUGCAACUUCGUCCUCCGCCCAAGCUGCUGUCCGAAGGAAGAUGAAGGGUUAACCGGAGAGACCAAUAAUCUGCCACGGGAGAUGUCUGUAGCAAGGGUUCAGACAAGAAAAGAGAUUUUGCUGACUGAAGUAAGAAGAUGAAAAUGAAUUUUCCGACUUGUUCCGGUUCAGAUUGAGUCGCAAAGAGUGGACUUGAAUCUCCACAAUUGCUUUGCUGUGUGUCUCAAAUCGUAAUGCACUAUGCAGGAUUCGUAUCUCUUGUUCAUCCACGAUCAUGAACUGUACUUCCUACCAUGUACAUAGAUGAGGAUUCCUGUUAUAGUAACCCCACAACUUUGCUCAAACAACCACUCACGGUUUCCCCCGGAUUCCCCCUUUGUUUUUUUCUUUCCCAAUCAUCUGACUUCGUUCUUAUUCUGGUGAUAGAUUGGCCAUAGUAUCAAUGCCUAAGACAAAUAGCUUGCUUCAGGUUUGCGUGUGACAUUAUGUAUGAUAUAAGAUGCGAUUAAAGCUUGAGCAGGAGAAGAAAAUCCAAUGCAAGAUAAUUGUGCAGCGAAAAGGAAGGACUAAUUUUACUAUGAAAUUGAUACAGAUACAACAAGCGUUCAAGACGAGAAAAUCUCAACGCAGAUGCUACUGUAACAAUUACAGGAAACUAACUGCCAUCAAAUAUGCCUUCUGAUUCUCUGUAUACCUAUAUUUUUAAGGCCUUGAUUUCCUUUAAUACCGUCGACAGUUUUGAUGAAUACGU